UGACCCUCUCUUGCUGUUCCCACUGGGUGUCAUAAACUCCAUGACUCCUUCCAAGAAACGUUAAGGGACUGUAGAAACCUGGUCCUGAUGACCCAGCUACCAUGUUCCAAUUCACUUCUUCCCCUCCCUUGAAGGACUGUAGCUCUUCAGCAAAAGGCAACUGCAGCCAAGAUUCCAGUCC